UACAGAGGUGGCAAGCGUUGUUCGGAAUUACUGGGUGUAAAGGGCGCGUAGGCGGUCUUGUAAGUCUUGUGUGAAAUCCCUCGGCUUAACUGAGGAACUGCACGGGAUACUGCUUGACUUGAGAUCGGGAGAGGGAAGCGGAAUUCCGGGUGUAGCGGUGAAAUGCGUAGAUAUCCGGAGGAACACCGGUGGCGAAGGCGGCUUCCUGGACCGACACUGACGCUGAGGCGCGAAAGCUAGGGGAGCAAACGGG
rnacentral:rRNA from 1 species